UUGCAGCUACUUAAGCUGACUAAGUCCCUUUCCUCACAGAGGCUUAGAGAGCGAAGGCCUCAAAUAGUGGCCUCCAAGGGAGCGAAUACAGCCUGUUGCCUAGACAGGUUGCCUGAGAUAACUUAUAGACAAUU